AAGCACCUCGAGACAUGGGUGAAGGCAUCGGGCAUCCUUGGUGGACCCAAAGAUGCUUCACCGACAGUAAUUUCCCCAAAGCAGUACAAAAAGAGGUUCAGGAAAGCGAUGACUGCCUAUUUUCUGAUGGUUCCAGAUCAAUGGUCACCUCCCACAGUUGCUCCUGGCAAGUCUCAGACGGAUCUAUGUGAAGAGAAUGCAUACUCUGCUGAGUAAUUCCCUCCUAGGUUAUCAAUGUUUUUGCAAUUCUUUUUAAUUUUUCACUCAAAUUCUAUUGGAAGAAGCCUUAUCCUUUUGGAUUCUCUUUUCAAUGAGUAUUCAUAUAGUCAGAAGAUGGUUCCAGAUCAAUGGUCACCUCCCACAGUAGCUCCUAGCAAGUCUCAGACGGAUCUAUGUGAAGAGAAUGCAUACUCUGCUGAGUAAUUCCCUCCUAGGUUAUCAAUGUUUUUGCAAUUCUUUUUAAUUUUUCACUCAAAUUCUAUUGGAAGAAGCCUUAUCCUUUU
rnacentral:lncRNA from 1 species